AGCGUUACAGCUUAUUCUCUUACACUUAUAAUUCCAUACCCCCCGCCAAACCUUUAAUUAUAUACUGAAUUAUUUUAUAUACCUAUAAAAGUAAUUAUGCUAGAACUAGUAACAAGAAAUUGAAUUUCUCCUAAAUGUAAACAUAAGCCCUAUUGGACACACCACCGGCACUUAACGUCUAUGCAACUACUAUAACAACAACCCCAAGAACACCCUAUAAACUCCUACGUUAACCUUACACAAGAACAUUUCAGGAAAGAUUAAAAAAGAAAGAAGGAACUCGGCAAAUUUUAGCCCCGCCUGUUUACCAAAAACAUCGCCUCUUGACACAACAUAGGAGGUCCAGCCUGCCCAGUGACAGAGUUCAACGGCUACGGUACCCUGACCGUACGAAGGUAGCAUAAUCACUUGUUCCUUAAAUGGGGACUUGUAUCAACGGCAUCACGAGGGCUGCACUGUCUCCUUUCUUCAAUCAGUGAAACUGAUCCCCCCGUGAAGAAGCGGGGAUGAAAUUAUAAGACGAGAAGACCCCAUGGAGCUUUAAAUAAUACAGCCACACUAUCAAAAUAUCCUCUUACUAAAAGUCCUGACUGUAAAUUUUAGGUUGGGGAGACCGCGGAGAACAACUAAACCUCCACGACAGACGGCCUAAGCCCUUAUCCACGAAUAACACUUCUAAGAAUCAGUACUCUGAUGUUAUUGACCCGAUAUUAUUCGACUGACGAACCAAGUUACCCUGGGGAUAACAGCGCAAUCUACUUUGAGAGCCCAUAUCGACAAGUGGGUUUACGACCUCGAUGUUGGAUCAGGGUAUCCUUGUGGUGCAGCAGCUAC
rnacentral:rRNA from 1 species